GUUAAAUUAGCUGUUACUGUGUGGGCAGGGUUUCUGUUUCAGCUUCCUGUUUCACUGUUAGCCCCACACCCAGCUAUACAUGCGUCCUGUCACAUACACGAAGCACCAAGAGCUUAUUUCUUGUUUCAUUCUGUUCACUUACUGCUGACAAUGGUAAGUAACUACUUGCUACUUGCAACUACUAAUUGCUUUGCAUCUUUAUGAUUGAUUUCUUCAACAUUGCUAAUUUCAUGUAUGUUGUUGGUGAAAUGUGAUCUGAUUCCAUCAGGCUGAUGCACAAAUGACAAAGUGAGUUGACCUAUUCUCUGAACUACAAAUGCUGAUUGUUGUGUUCUAAUUUUAAAUGAUUUUAAACUAUUGUUUAUUAUAUUCAGAAAAGAAAGACAACUCGUAAGUGAAAGCAAUUUCAAAACUAACGCUUUCAAGAUUAUCAAGGAAAUAGUGAUACUUUGUGUCCAGUGUUCAGACCCUGUUGCCACUGUACAUUUUGUUGAUGAGGUAUGUCAUAUCAAGACUCUUAUAAACUUUGAAUUUGGUUUAUGUCCCUGUCAGAGUUUGCACUGAACAUGUCAUAACAAUACAGAAAAUCUUUGAUUUCAUAGGUUCUUCACAGCAUCUACUUUUUGGGAAAGAUCAAAAUUCAACCAUCAUUCAACCCUGAAGACAUUCUCUUUGAUAGAGAGUUGUUGAAAAUGUUCAGGGACAUGUUCCCUUGGCCUUUUAAGUGCUAUUUAUCUCAGCUACCUAAGCGGAGUCCAUUUUCAUGUGUGCUGGACAUGGUAAGCUUAUAGCUUGUCAAGAGAUUAUUCUUCCUAAUGUACAAAUCUGCAUUUCACAAACAUUUGUGAUUUUGCAGGUUGUCUACCUGACUGGAGAAUGGAAUGAAAACAUCAUUAAACAACAGUUACAAAACAUCACUAACGGCUUAAACCCAAAGCAUCUGAUCUCCUCCACCGUGUGUGUCUCUCAAAAGAAGAAGAAGAAGAAGAAGAAGAAGAAGAAGAAGAAGAACCCAGGCUCACUAAGAAGGGAAGAACUUCUGAGGACCCAAGAGUCUUUUAGAAGCAAUGCCAUCCUGCUAAUCACAAAGAUGUUAGAUUGGCACGACCUGUAUCCAGGAGGUAAACACUUAGUGGAGGAGAUGCUACACAGCAUCUUCUUUCUAGGAAAGAUCAACAGGCCGCCAUAUUCUCCAGAAAUGAUCUUUGGGAGUGAUGUAGUGAUGUUACAAAGGUUGAAGCUGUCCUACCCCCGUCCUUUUGAGUGCUAUUUAUCUCACCAACCUAAGCGGAGUCCAUUUUCGUGUGUGGAAGACAUGGUAAGCCUAUAGUUUGUCAAGAGAUUAUUCUUCCUAUUGUACAAAACUGCAUUUCACAAACAUUUGUGAUUUUGCAGGUUGUCUACCUGGCUGAAGAAUGGAAUGAAAACCUCAUUAAACACCUGUUACAAAACAUCACUAACAACUUAAAAACAAAGCCUUUGAUCUCCUCCACCGUGGGUGUCUCUCAGAAGAAGAAGAAGAAGAGUAGAAAGAAGAAGAAGAAGAAGAACCCAGCAUCAGUCAGGUACUACGGAGUCUCCAUGUCCACUUCUGGUGGUGAUGCUGGGCAAAUCAUGAUUGCUGCCUCCUGUUUGAGCUACUGGGACAAUUACGUAGCUGAUGCAGUGAUGACCUAUUAUCCUGUAAAAGUCAAGAAAGACUACUUUGAUGGAACCAUCAAACUUCCUAAUACGAUCAGGUGCAAAGCGUUUCGCAUCAGUGAUGGAGUAGAAAUGUCUCCUUGCAGAUCAUGUGGGAAUUUGUUUGGUUUGAGAGUUUAUCCUACUGCAGAUGUACCUGUACCAAGAGAAUGGGCUUAUGGCAACUGUGCUGAAGCUGAGAGUUUGAGCACUCUGUUGAAAAAUGAGAGCGGAAUUAAAGAGCAGGCGCGGCCAACGUCUGUCAUGUACACAGAUGAGAACAAGAAGGAGGCUAAAAGACAUGUUAUGAACAAUGUCAGGGGUUUGCUAAGCGAGAUACGUAAAAGGAGUGAAAGGAGUGAAACGAUACCAGCCUUUGAAUGGAAUGGCUUGAUCUAUUCUAACACUAAGUUACAGCAGUAGAUAGGGAUUUUUUUUCAUGGUAUAGGAAAAAACGAGAUUAGUGCAGGAGAUAGUCAGGACAGGAAAUAACAGGCAAGUUAGUAUAUGACAAAAACAAACAAACAUGAUAAUUAAUGCAACAAACAUAUUUCUUAAAAACAUACUGAAAACUGGCUUAGUUAAAAUGAAUGUGAUUUAUAUAAAGUUUUAACAUUGGAAAUGUUAACAAGCAAAUGUUGCUUGUUAUGUGUAUUUCUAUCCCUAUUGACAAUAGACAUCCAAAUGAUUUUGGAAACUCUGCAAGACUAAUGUGUGUACAACUUGAAUGAAGCAUGCACAAGAUGCAAACAUUAAUAAACAAUAAAAGUAUUGUGAAUUAACGCCAUGUCAAGAGCUUUUGGAUAAAUGGAAGAACUGAAAAAGUGACGAGGGUGGGACAUCAACCAUCAUUUAGAACCAAAACAACCAAUGUAGCUGACCUUAUAGGAAUGAGUAAACUUGAUCAUAUUUAUGGUUUCACAGAACCAGGAAGAAGAAGCAGCUAAUGGGCC
ensembl:lncRNA